rnacentral:rRNA from 1 species
UNCUAUACAUGCAAGUCGAACGAACUACCCCAUGAACUGAAAGUGCUUGCACGGAAGGGAAUUGGAUUUUGUAGUUAGUGGCGGACGGGUGAGUAACACGUGGGUAACCUACCACACAGAAUGGAAUAACUAUUGGAAACGAUAGCUAAUACCGUAUAUGACCUUCGGGUUGAAAGGGGCGUAUGCCUCGCUGUGUGAUGGGCCUGCGGCGCAUUAGCUAGUUGGUAAGGUAAAGGCUUACCAAGGCGACGAUGCGUAGCCGGACUGAGAGGUCGAUCGGCCACAUUGGGACUGAGACACGGCCCAAACUUCUACGGGAGGCAGCAGUAGGGAAUUUUCCGCAAUGGACGAAAGUCUGACGGAGCAAUGCCGCGUGAGUGAUGAAGGUUUUCGAAUCGUAAAGCUCUGUUGUAAGGGAAGAAUAGCAGUAGUAGGAAAUGACUACUGUGUGACGGUACCUUACCAGAAAGCCACGGCUAACUACGUGCCAGCAGCCGCGGUAAUACGUAGGUGGCAAGCGUUAUCCGGGAAUUAUUGGGGCGUAAAGCGCAUGUAGGCGGCUCUUUAAGUCUGAUGUGAAAAGCCUGUGGCUCAACCACAGAAUUGCAUUGGAUACUGGAGAGCUAGAAUCUUGGAGAGGUAAGUGGAAUUUCAUGUGUAGCGGUGGAAUGCGUAGAUAUAUGAAAGGAACACCAAUUGGCGAAGGCAGCUUACUGGACAAGUAUUUGACGCUGAGAUGCGAAAAGUGUGGGGUAGCAAACAGGGAUUAGAUACCCCUGGUAGUCCACACCGCAAACGAUNAGUGCUAGGUAUUGGGGAUAACUCAGUGCCGANGUUAACGCAUCAAGCACUCCGCCGGGGGAGNACGGUCGCAGGCUNNAAACUCANAGGAAUUGACGGG